rnacentral:rRNA from 1 species
CCUACGGGAGGCAGCAGUGAGGAAUAUUGGUCAAUGGGCGCAAGCCUGAACCAGCCAAGUCGCGUGAGGGAUGACGGUCCUAUGGAUUGUAAACCUCUUUUGUCGGGGAGCAAGGCCCGCCACGUGUGGCGGGAAGGAGAGUACCCGAAGAAAAAGCAUCCGCUAACUCCGUGCCAGCAGCCGCGGUAAUACGGAGGAUGCGAGCGUUAUACGGAUUUAUUGGGUUUAAAGGGUGCGUAGGCGGAAGGUUAAGUCAGUGGUCAAAUGUCGGUGCUCAACACCGGCCUGCCGUUGAAACUGGUCUUCUAGAGUGAGCGAGAGGUAUGUGGAAUGCGUGGUGUAGCGGUGAAAUGCAUAGAUAUCACGCAGAACACUGAUUGCGAAGGCAGCAUACCGGCGCUUAACUGACGCUGAGGCACGAAAGCGUGGGGAGCGAACAGGAUUAGAUACCCUGGUAGUC